GUUGAGGUGUCUCAGUGGUAGAGUGCUUGCCUUGCAUGCAUGAAUGAAGCCCUGGAUUCGAUUCCUCAGCA
rnacentral:tRNA from 1 species